rnacentral:tRNA from 1 species
GAGGGUGCAGCUCAGUGGUAGAGCAUGUGUUUAGCACGUACAGGGUCCUGGCUUCAAUCCCCAGCACCUCCA